GCCAGGCAUGGUGGUGCGUGCCUGUAAUCCCAGCUACUCAGGAGGCUGAGGCAGGAGAAUCGCUUGAACCCGGGAGGCGGAGGUUGCAGUGCGCCAAGAUCACGCCACUGCACUCCAGCCUGGGCAACAGAGUGAGACUCUGUCUCAA
rnacentral:SRP_RNA from 1 species